rnacentral:snRNA from 1 species
AUACCUUUCUUGGCCUUUUGGCUAAGAUCAAGGGUAGUAUCUGUUUUUAUCAGUUUAAUAUCUAAUACAUAGCAAUUGGCUCACACGAUAUUAACUCAAUUUUAUUUCUAACGGGGGGAAGAUGAACAAUU